AGAGACCGGAAGAGGUGGGUGCCAUGGCAACGGCGUACACAGCCCCCGCCGGCCGCCGCGGCUUCUCCUCGCCCGGGCCCGGUUGAGGAGGGGACGCAGGCCCCCGUUAUUGGUGCAGCCGUGUCACCAGCCGCCUCGCAUCCCACACUGUCUGGCUGGUUUGCAGUCAGCUGGGAAGGCAGAAGAUCAUUUAUUUGAAGACAGUUGCCGAUGCUGAAGAGAUUAUGGUCGCGGUAACCUAGCUCUAUUUUGGAUUCUACAGUGGGCAUUGUGUUGGCAUCGCUGCGGUAGUCAAGGAAAAGGACACGGCGCCCACGGUACCUUUACCAGGUAGUCAUUCAAAUGGUCACCUCUGUUUUAAAUAAAGAGAAGUCUUGGUUCAACUCACAUGUCUAU
rnacentral:lncRNA from 1 species